AACGAACGUUGGCGGCAUGCCUAACACAUGCAAGUCGAACGAGACCUUCGGGUCUAGUGGCGCACGGGUGCGUAACGCGUGGGAACCUGCCCUUAGGUUCGGAAUAACUCCCCGAAAGGGGUGCUAAUACCGGAUAAUGUCUUCGGACCAAAGAUUUAUCGCCUUUGGAUGGGCCCGCGUUGGAUUAGCUAGUUGGUAGGGUAAAAGCCUACCAAGGCGACGAUCCAUAGCUGGUCUGAGAGGAUGAUCAGCCACACUGGGACUGAGACACGGCCCAGACUCCUACGGGAGGCAGCAGUGGGGAAUAUUGGACAAUGGGCGAAAGCCUGAUCCAGCAAUGCCGCGUGAGUGAUGAAGGCCUUAGGGUUGUAAAGCUCUUUUACCCGGGAUGAUAAUGACAGUACCGGGAGAAUAAGCUCCGGCUAACUCCGUG
rnacentral:rRNA from 1 species